GAUGAAGAACGUAGCGAAAUGCGAUAAGUAGUGUGAAUUGCAGAAUUCAGUGAAUCAUCGAAUCUUUGAACGCACAUUGCGCCCCUUGGUAUUCCAUGGGGCAUGCCUGUUCGAGCGUCAUUUGUACCUUCAAGCUCUGCUUGGUGUUGGGUGUUUGUCUCGCCUCUGCGUGUAGACUCGCCUUAAAACAAUUGGCAGCCGGCGUAUUGAUUUCGGAGCGCAGUACAUCUCGCGCUUUGCACUCACAACGACGACGUCCAAAAGUACAUUUUUACACUCUUGACCUCGGAUCAGGUAGGGAUACCCGCUGAACUUAAGCAUAUCAAUAAGCGGAGGA
rnacentral:misc_RNA from 1 species